AUUGAACGCUGGCGGUAUGCUUAACACAUGCAAGUCGAACGGCAGCACAGUAUGUAGCAAUACAUAUGGGUGGCGAGUGGCGGACGGGUGAGUAACGCGUAGGAAUCUACCCUAAAGCGGGGGACAACCCGAGGAAACUCGGGCUAAUACCGCAUAAUCUCGAAAGAGUAAAGCUGGGGCAACCUGACACUUUAGGAGGAGCCUGCGUCCGAUUAGCUAGUUGGUGAGGUAAAGGCUCACCAAGGCGAUGAUCGGUAGCUGGUCUGAGAGGAUGAUCAGCCACACUGGGACUGAGACACGGCCCAGACUCCUACGGGAGGCAGCAGUGGGGAAUAUUGGACAAUGGGGGCAACCCUGAUCCAGCAAUACCGCGUGUGUGAAGAAGGCCUUAGGGUUGUAAAGCACUUUAGUUGGGGAAGAAGGAUAGUUGUUUAAGAGAUGAUUAUUUUGACGGUACCCAAAGAAUAAGCACCGGCUAACUCUGUGCCAGCAGCCGCAGUAA
rnacentral:rRNA from 1 species